AGUGAAUAAAAGAAACAGAGUAAAGAAAAGAAACAAAAAGAAUAGAGAAAAGAGAACAGAAAGCAUUCGAGCAGGGGAAGGAAAGAAGAAAAUAAAAGAGAGCAAAGGGGAAAUAGGAUUUUUGAAGCUUGGAGUUUAAUUGUUAACAAAGAACCCAAGACAUCGGCGCACAAAGGAAAGGAGAAACCUAUCGAGGAUUAAAACGAGAAAUUCACGGUUAAGUAAAGAUAGUACGUUGAAUCAGCAUCCCAGGACGAUCCCGAAUUCAUUAAGGUAAAGUAUGUUGAGUAUUGAUAGUGGCAUGUACCCAGGAUGUUUAAUGAGAGUCAUUUAGGUUGUAAAAGUAUUGAUGAAAUGAGUAAAUUAUGGUUGGCAACGGUAUGUAGUAUGAAUUUUGAAAUUUACUAAAAA